rnacentral:lncRNA from 1 species
CAAACGUCUAAUUGAUUUUAAUUAACGUGAUGGCUAUGUGAGAAUUGGUUCACCUAAUUUGGGCAAGAAUCUGGUGAUGAAAUCCAGUUCUUAUCUUGUAGGGGUGAUUGCCCUUACUAUGUGCGGAUUAAUUGGUGUAUGUGUAUCAAGCAUGCAUUCACACUUUUGCUGAAUUUAAAAUCAAACAAUCACCACAAAAGGGAAUUUAAAUAAGAAAGGUUUAGAGGUUACCAAAGAAAAUUUCUCCAGCAAUUUUGAAAAAAAAUUUAGGCAAACCUCGACAGCAUUCCUUUUCCAGCAGUUCCCUUUUUGAUUGUCCCAGA